UACGUAGGGAGCAAGCGUUGUUCGGAUUUACUGGGCGUAAAGGGCGCGUAGGCGGGUUGCCAAGUCUGUGGUGAAAUCCUCCAGCUUAACUGGAGAACGGCCGUGGAUACUGGCGACCUCGAGGGGGGUAGGGGCUUGCGGAACUGUGCGUGGAGCGGUGAAAUGCGUUGAUAUGCACAGGAACUCCGGUGGCGAAGGCGGCGAGCUGGACCCUUUCUGACGCUGAGGCGCGAAAGCCAGGGGAGCGAACGGG
rnacentral:rRNA from 1 species